rnacentral:rRNA from 1 species
AUUGAACGCUGGCGGCAGGCUUAACACAUGCAAGUCGAGCGGGGGAAGGUAGCUUGCUACCGGACCUAGCGGCGGACGGGUGAGUAAUGCUUAGGAAUCUGCCUAUUAGUGGGGGACAACAUCUCGAAAGGGAUGCUAAUACCGCAUACGUCCUACGGGAGAAAGCAGGGGAUCUUCGGACCUUGCGCUAAUAGAUGAGCCUAAGUCGGAUUAGCUAGUUGGUGGGGUAAAGGCCUACCAAGGCGACGAUCUGUAGCGGGUCGGAGAGGAUGAUCCGCCACGCUGGGACUGGGACACGGCCAAGACUCCGACGGGAGACAGCAGUGGGGAAUAUUGGACAAUGGGGGGAACCCUGAUCCAGCCAUGCCGGGUGUGUGAAGAAGGCCUUAUGGUUGUAAAGCACUUUAAGCGAGGAGGAGGCUACUUUAGUUAAUACCUAGAGAUAGUGGACGUUACUCGCAGAAUAAGCACCGGCUAACUCUGUGCCAGCCGCCGCGGUAA